rfam:Schistosoma margrebowiei strain Zambia genome assembly, scaffold: SMRZ_scaffold0000995
UCACUGCUGAAUAGUCCAACAACAAGACGAAACGGCCGUCCAGUAA